AUAAAUCAUGGAUAAAGAAAGCAAGGUUAAACGAAAAGAAAAAAGGGAGAAAAGUAAAGGAAAUUUCAAGAGACAAAGGUAGGAGGAACAAAAUAGAAUUAGAGAGAAACAGAAUGAAACGAAAACAAGUGUUUUAUUGUCAUAUGUUCCAGAUAGAACAAUGAAAUUCUUACUUGCAGCAGCACGACAGAAUAUGUAAACUAAGUACGCUGUAAUCAUAAAAAAACAAACAAUAGUAGUGUAAUAAUGACAAUAAUAGCAUACAUAGUUCAGAGCUUAUUUGAGGUUGUAGUAUUUAAUAGCCUGAUGGCUGUGGGGAAGGAGCUGUUCCUGAACCUGGACGUUACAGUUGUCAGUCUCCUGUACAUUAUUCCCGAUGUCAGGGGUGAAAUGGGUGUGUGGCCAACAAAAGCAUUGUAGGAAACAUUGAGAAGGGAAAGAUACAGGAAUAUUUGGUUACAUUUCACAUACAGCCUGAAUCACACCAAGAAUCACGAUCUCACAUUGUAACUACAAUUGUUAACACAAUCACUGACUUGCAACGUCUUUCAAACAUGUUCUGCACUUCCCAUUAAAUAUUGCCUUUGCACCUUAGCGGGGGCCUCAUCAUGAAAAGGCUGGCUGCUCUUUCAGUCUAAGUGUUAUUUCCAGUGCCUCUGUAAAAUGCAUUUACCAAUAUCGCAUUUAAGGGAUGAAAUAUCAAGGAAAGAAUGCAAUGCUGACUUCUUGCAAUCUAGCCUUCAUUUGCUGUGACAGGACAAGUGUAAGUUAUUGCUUGGAUGUUUAAGAGAUCUCUCCAGUAUGUCCUGGUCAGUAGCCAGAGCCAUAUCAUGUAGACCACAUUAUGUUUUAGUGUUAACUCAUUAGCACGGGAUAAUUGUACAUGCCACUCACGCAUUCACUACUAAUUAUAAAUGUGACUCCAAUCUCCUCCCUCCAAGGAGGACAGGAAUAUUUUGUAAAUAGUCCAAGUUCUCCAAACAAAACUGCACAAAGUUGCAGAGUACAAACUGCUGCCAAACCUUAAAUACAUCAGUAAUAUUAAGCAAAAGGGAAACCCAGUUUAUACCACUUUAUCAUAACCCAUUUUAUAAUCACUUAAAUGCAUUCACAUCUCAUUUGCGUAAUUGUGCCUUUUAGCAAAUACUAUUUCUUUAGAGCAGUUUUCCAAACAGGGACCCCUGUAUACCCUGGGGAACAUUAUAAAUAAGUUUAUGUCAAAUGUUCCCGCUCAGUGUUGACACAACUUUAUUAGCGGCCAUUAAAACAGAUUAUAUGGAACAAUUAAAAGCUAGAUUGAAUAAUAAAUUGCCUGGCUACUGUUUUCCUGGACAUAGCAGUGUGACUAAACGUACUUCAAAACAAAAGGAAGGAACUCUGUCCUGAGAUUAGUGCAUGUUAAUGAUGGCCAAAUUAAAGCAAAUUGUCUGGCUUGGACCCCAUACAGGUUGGGGGUGGGGAAGAAGUUGGAAUUUUUAUUUUUGGAAUCACAAUAUACAUUGAAGAGCCACAUAAAUUCCUUAUAGCCUUUUUAUCAUUGAGAAUUCAGAGAGCCUUUCGACAGUAAUGAUAACUGAAAAGUAACAGUUACCAUAAAGUAACCUUUCCAAGGGUAUCAGGUCCACCACAGUUUACAACCUAGAUCACAUUUGGAGAAGUUUUAUUCAGGAUGCAUGACCAACACUUGUACCCCAACCCCCCAUGAAUCUCCCUUGGAAUGAUUAAAUUGGCUCAAGAUGAGACUAAUAAUUGGCUCAAGAUGCAACUUCAGCAAAUCCAGUGAUCCAUAUCUAUGUCAGUUCUUAAAAUCAAACCUUUAAAUGCUGUAUUAUAUUUUCAAUGGUUUACCUUGGCUGAAUUACAAAUACGUUAUUAGAAUCCCCAAAGAGGUUUUAAAUUGGUGAUAUCAUAAGAUACUGGAAGAAAAGGUUAUACCGUGGACAGAAAUCUGGAUAAUUUUCAGUUUUUCUGUUCUCAGGAAAAACCAUUUGUUAAGUUUGAUUUAAAAAAAAAAAGAAAUAUCUGCGAAAAUCAACACAGCAAAAAGUGGGGCCUGAAAUGUGAAAUUGCUUCCAAGUAGUUUUAUUACCACUUGCAGAAAGUGUAUGUAAUGCAGCUAACAAAACACAGCAUAUAAACUUGACAGUGUGCAAAUAAAAUGACUUAGAUCUCAAAUAAAAAUACAGGUUUCAACAAAAAUAAAAACAGCACUUUUAUAGUUUACUUAGGUUUUAAGCUGCCAUGUUGAAUUAUAUCAAAUCAUGGUGAAUGUCAGAGCUGGUCUCCGCAAUUCACAGCUCCGUAGGUUUAAUCUAUUUUAUUUGUUUAAGGAAUAUAGUUAAAAAUAUUGUUUCUUGAUUCAUAUGCAGUCAAUAAUGAUUAUUUAAAGUCUUAUUUUCUGAAUUGCCCUUUCCAUUAUCAAAAACCUUGUGUGCCCAUUAUUUUCUAAUUUUAUAUGUUCCUUUACUUUAAUAUUUCAUCUACAGAGAGAAACAUUUCCUGCCAAACCUGAUUGUAUUGAUUGUGUGGCUCUGCUUGCUUGUCACUAGAGUUACUAAUUGAAUUUUCAUUCUCUCUGCUCAGAGCAGGAUUUCCUGAUCAAACACUCAGGCCCAUUCCCAUCCAUUCCAUAUUAGCUAACAUGUUUUAUAAGCAACGGGGUCACAAGACGUGUAAUUCCCUGAAAGAAACCCUAUACCUGUUUCUUUGAAAGUGAGCGCAUGGCCACUUGAAAGAUCUGCAUCCAGCCUGGCAGAAACAAGGACAAUGAUGGAGGCAUCUUGAGCUCAUACACAUGGAAGGGAGGAACCAUACGUUUGCGAUGCCCAGAGAUAUAUGGAUUAAACAAAAAAUGAGAAUACUGGAAAUAACAGCCCCUACAGUAUCGGGGAAAGACUAAAACGGUGACAAUAUAGAAGUGUCCAUGGAGACCAAUUGUUCCCUGCCAUGGAGUCACCAAGACAAGAGGGUGAAUCAUGACGUUAUGCCUAGAUUGGAUCAGUGCAGUCUUCAGGAAGUGAAGAACCAAAUCGAAACAAGUCAUGCUGUGAGAACGGAGAGGAUAAGACGGAGUCCCUUCCCAGAGGCCAUUAAGACUGUAAACUCCGAUCUCACCAGGGACUAACUGUACUGAACUAUUCUACUGUUUUUUAAAAUUACUGUUUUUUUUCCUUUUUCUUUUCUCGCACAAAUAUGUAAUAUGUGAAUAUGUGAUUCUGUUCCAUUCUGUUUGUAGUUUGUUUGGGUUUUUUUGCACAAUCCGCGAGCAUCGCCACUUUUCAUUUCACUGAAUUGAAUUGAAUUGAAUUUAAUUAAAUCUGAAUGAAAUUUCGUGCCUGCAGUCAUACAUACAAUAAUAAACAACAAUAAACACAAAUUAACACCACCACAGUGAGUCCUCCAAGCACCUCCUAACUAUGGUGGGGGCAACAAUCUUAGGGCUGCAGUCUCUUUCCUCCUCUUCUCCCUCACUGCACAUCUCGUAUGUGUAUGUGACAAAUAAACUUGUCUGACAAAGAUGAAGUCCAUUAGUAGCUCUGUAUGGAACAUUCAAGUAGUCAGUCAGAAUACAAAGGAAACCCUCAAAUACUAUGUGGCAUUGGGACAGCACCACAGGGCAACUCCAAGCACUUUCAUGGAAUAUAUAGGAAAUAAUGAAAUAUAUAUAUAUGAAUAAUGGAUAAAUACUCCAUUAAUGGCUCUCUACCUGGACCAAGUCCAGAACCAAAUAGUCCAAAGGUUGGUUUAAUUCCAAAAUUUGUGAGGAGAUCAGAAAUAUAGGAAGUUUUUUGUUUCUACUACCUUCAUACCAUGUAGAUGGAGACCAUUCAGCCCAUUGAAUCAAUGCUGGCUCUCUGAGGAGAGCCAACAUCAGUCUGAUGAAAGGUUUCGGCCCAAAACGGUGCCUAUUUUCCUUCACUCCAUAGAUGCUGCUGCACCCGCUGAGUUUCUCCAGCAUUUUUGUGUACCUUCGAUUCUCCAGCAUCUGCA